UACGGGGGGAGCGAGCGUUGUUCGGAAUCACUGGGCGUAAAGGGCGCGUAGGCGGUUGGAUAAGUCAGGGGUGAAAUGCCAGGGCUUAACCUUGGAAUUGCCUUUGAUACUGUCUGGCUAGAGGACGGAAGAGGAUAGUGGAAUUCCUGGUGUAGCGGUGAAAUGCGUAGAUAUCAGGAAGAACACCGGUGGCGAAGGCGGCUAUCUGGUCCGUUACUGACGCUGAUGCGCGAAAGCCAGGGGAGCAAACGGG
rnacentral:rRNA from 1 species